rnacentral:piRNA from 1 species
UGAAAAGGAUGGUCACUUCCUUCCGGU